CAAAUAACUGUGUUUACGAGGAUACUCGCAAAGACGGGCAUUUUGACACAUAACUAUGUGUAUUUGAGCGUUUAAGCACAAGGAGCGAAAGUUUAGUCAGUAAUACGAGCAGGUGUAUCAGGUAGAAACCGUUUUAACGCACGCAUUUACCAGAAUGAAUUCUGCCCCGCAGCGUAAUGUCCGUGAACAGUAUAAACCAUUUGUUUUAAAACACCUUGAAAUGAUAAGCUUAGACUACAUCAUGACGCUCUUCAAUCAACGAUUGAUAUAUUUCUACCGGAUUAUCUCCCAACCCUUAAAUGAAUAUAGUUUGUUCAAACACAAAAACAAUAUAAAUCCAGUUAAUAAUCAAACUAACCUAAAAUCUGUGUGGACGAUGACACUGUUUUUGUCUGCUCCGUGUGCCCGGUUCACUUGCUUUUCCGGCAACUUCCACUCCAUCAUCAGCUUUAGUAAAAUAACCUGAUAGCUGAUUUUGGAUCCUGUG